rnacentral:RNase_P_RNA from 2 species
UAAGUAAGUCAGAUGAUCGCAUGCAUUGGCAUGAGGAAAGUCCGAGCUCCAUAGGGCAGGGUGCUGGGUAAUACCCAGUGGAGGCAACUCCAAGGAAAGUGCAACAGAGAGAUACCGCCAGAACUUAAAAUACAGUAUGAUUACUGAUUUUGUAGUGAAAUAACAUAUAGUGUUAUCUGGUAAGGGUGGAAAGGUGAGGUAAGGGCUCACCAGAGACUAGGUGACUAGUUUGCUAUGUAAACCCCAUCUGGAGCAAGACCAAGUAGGGACUAGAAAAAACGGCUGCCCGUCGUCUCCCGUAGGUAGGUCGCUUGAGCCUAUUGGCGACAAUAGGUCUAGAUAGAUGAUCAUUUGAUACAGAACUCGGCUUAUAGACUUACUUGAUAU